AUAAAGUAAAAAUCACUUGCAAAAUGAAUCAGUAGCCUCGAAAAAAGGAUUGGCUCUGAGGGCUGGGCCUGGGGGUCUCCAUCCUGAACCCGUCAGCUGUUGGCGGACUACUUGAGUUGCUCCCGUUGUGAGAGCCGAUCGCUGCGUGUCAGCUGGGGAACAAACUAAGAACGGCCUCUUCGGGAGCCUUAUCCGGGCGUCGAAUAGUCGACUCAGAACUAAUACGGACAAGGAGAAUCCAACUGUUUAAUUAAAACAAAGCAUCGCGAUGGUCCUUGCGGAUGCUUACACAAUGUAAUUUAUGCCCAGUGCUCUGAAUAUCAAAGUGAAAAAAUUCAAUCAAGCGCGGUUGUCAAUUUCAACCAAACAACUCUUAAGUAUAUGGGAUCUUAGAUAUAUUUUAAAAUUUAUUGUCUAGAUUUUAUUUAUACAUCAAACCGAUAAAUAAUUGAUAUAUAUUAAUUAGUUUUAAAUUAUGGUUUAUGUAUUAAUUAUCCAAUAGCAAAACAUAAAACGCUUAAUACAUAUGUGUUAUUCUCCUAUUAAUUAUAGUGAACACACUAAACUUAAAUAAAAAAUUUCCUAAUGAACAUACAUUUUUUUGCCAUAAGCAUGUACCAUUAAAUCCGUGUAGGGAGGGUAACCCAUGUUAGGACGAGACCCACAUUACAAUUACUAGUUAAGUAUGAUUAUUAGUGGUGCCAUUGUUGUUCUAGCUAUAAUUAUUCUUACUGUUAUCGGAUGG
rnacentral:ncRNA from 1 species